rnacentral:lncRNA from 1 species
AGUGGAGGGGUCGGAGAUGUUAAUCAGCAAAGGCCGAUGUGUCUUCAGAGUUCAGCAAUCUGAUUCUACUAAACAACUUAUAAUAUGUUUUGGCAUGACUGAUUGACUGAUUAUCCUGACCUCCCACUGACUGUUCCAAUACACAAUUAAUUUAAUUUAACUGCUAUUUAUACAGGUUAGUCUUGCUGAUGAAACAUUGCAUAAGAAACACAUGCACUGCAGGUGAUAUAGCAUCAUGUCUCUCCACAGGCCAGAAGAGACUGCAUCAGGCAGAGUAUUGUGCAGAAGAUGCGCUGGUCCAAGCUACCUGACGAGGAGAAACUCAAGUGGAUCAAUCGCUCUCUGGAGCAGCCGACACCGUAUGAGGAGGAGGACAUGGAGGAGCACCCAGAGAAUAAAGGGAGUCGGAAGGCCAAGCAUAAGCCACUUCUACGCAAGAGUGAGAGGCUGUUGAAGGACUUGGCAGACGGCAAACCUGACAAACCCCCAUCGUAAGUCACUGGGCCUACCUUUUACCAUAAGGGCUACCUUUGCCAAAAUAUUCUAUAUUUGCCAAAACAUUCUCUAAAUAUGCUCCCAAUAAUUUAGUGUGUGAACAACGUUUCGGCACAUAGUGCCUUCUUCAGGCUAGAGCAUUGGUGUUAACCCAUACAAUUAUUAUGAGCAUAUUUACAGUAUUUUUAAUUUUACAAGUAUACUGUUCCGUAAGUCAGCAGCUCUCCAACAUUGAGUCCACUCAUGCCUUUUACAGAGUUUUUGCAUGAGUGCCAAUUCAUUUUCCAAAUAUAGAUACAUUUCAAUAUGCAGUGCAUUCAGAAAGUAUUCAGACCCCUUGACUUUUUCCACCUUUUGUUACGUUACUGCCUUCUUAUAAAAUGUCUACAUUUUUUCCCCCCCUUAUCAAUCUACACAAUAUCUCAUAAUGACAAAGUGAAAACGGGCAAAUUUAUAAAUAAUAAACAAAUACCUUUAUUUACAUAAGUAUUUAGACCAUUUUGAUAUUAGACUCUACAUUAAGCUCAGGUGCAUCUUGUUUCCAUUGAUCCUCCUUGAGAUGUUUCUACAACUUGAUUGGAGUCCACCUGUGGUAAAUUCAAUUGAUUGGACAUGAUUUGGGAAGGCACAUGCCUGUCUAUAUAAGGUCCCACAAUUGACAGUGUAUGUCAGAGCUAAAACCAAGCCAUGGAGGUCGAAGGAAUUGUCCAUAGAGCUCCGAGACAGGAUUGUUUCGACGCUCAGAUCUUGGUACGGUAACCAUAACAUUUUUGCAGCAUUGACGGUCCCCAAGAACACAGUGGCCUCCAUCAUUUUGAAAUGGAUGAAGUUUGGAACCACCAAGACUCUUCCUUGAGCUGGCUGAAUAAUCGGGGGAGAACUGAGAAAUCGGGAGAGAAGGGCCUUGGUCAGGGAGGUGACCAAGAACCCGAUGGUCACUCUUAGAGAGCUCCAGAGUACAUCUAUGGAGAUGGGAGAACCUUUCAGAAGGACAACCAUCUCUGCAGCACUCUGCUCUCAGGUUUUUAUGGCAGAGUGGCCAGACGGAAGACACAUGACGGCCUGCUUGGAAUUUGCCAAACAACACCUUAAGGACUCUGACCAUGAGAAACAAGAUUCUUUGGUCUGAUGAAACCAAGAUUGAACUCUUUGGCCUGAAUGCCAAGUGUCACAUCUGGAGGAUACCUGGCACCAUCCCUACGGUGAAGCAUGGUGGUGGCAGCAUCAUGCUGGCACCAUCCCUACGGUGAAGCAUGGUGGUGGCAGCAUUGUGCAGAUGUUUUUCAGCUGUAGGGACUGGGAGACUAGUCAGGAUUGAGGGAAAGAUGAACAGAGAGAACAUCAGUCUCAAGGUCAACAGGGAAGAGGCGACUCUGCCCAGAAGGCCAGCUUCCCGGAGUCGCCUCAUCACUGUUGACGUUGAGAGUGGUGUUUUGCGGGUACAAUUUAAUGAAGUUGCCAGUUGAAGACUUGCGAGGCGCCUAUUUCUCAAACUAGACACUCUAGUGUACUUGUCCUCUUGCUCAGUUGUGCACCGGGGCCUCCCACUCCUCUUACUAUUCUGGUUAGUGCAAGUUUGCACUGUUCUAUGAAGGGAGUAGUACACAGCAUUGUACGAGUUUUUUCUUGGCAAUUUCUUGCAUGGAAUAGCCUUCAUUGCUUCUACACCUGCAUUGCUUGCUGUUUGGGGUUUUAGGCUGGGUUUCUGUACAGCACUUUGAGAUAUCAGCUGAUGUAAGAAUGGCUAUAUAAAUCAAUUUGAUUUGAUUUCUCAGAACAAGAAUAGACUGACGAGUUUCAGAAGAAUGUUCUUUGUUUCCGGCCAUUUUGAGCCUGUAGUGCUUCAGAUACUCAACUAGUCUAAAGAAGCCCAGUUUUAUUGCUUCUUUAAUUAGACCAACAGUUUUCAGCUGUGCUUACAUAAUUGCAAAAAGGUUUUCUAAUGAUCAAUUAGCCUUUUAAAAUCAGAAACUUGGAUUAGCUAACACAAUGUGCCAUUGGAACACAGGAGUGAUGGUGGCUAAUAAUGGGUGCCUGUACGCCUAUGUAGAUAUUCCAUUCAAAAUCUGCCGUUUCCAGCUACAAUAGUCAUUUACAACAUUAACAAUGUCUACAAUGUAUUUCUGAUCAAUUUGAUGUUAUUCUAAUGGACCAAAAAAUUAGCUUUUCUAUCAAAAUCAAGGAAAUUUCUAAAUGACCCCUAACUUUUGAACGGUAGUGUAUGUAUAUUUGAUAUUUCAGAUUUGAUUUUUUUUUUAAUGAAGUUGCCAA